AUUCUUGUGCAGAGGCAAUUUCAUAGUCUAUGAAGAUCUACUGAGACGUGAUUAUUGCUGGUUGAAAACUUAACCCAAUACCCCGCCUGGAUGACUUGAAAUAUAGUCAGCUGUGGCAAUUUUUGCUGGUCUCUCAAGAGA
ensembl:snRNA U4 U4 spliceosomal RNA